ACUCUGAGACAGGUGCUGCAUGGCUGUCGUCAGCUCGUGUUGUGAAAUGUUGGGUUAAGUCCCGCAACGAGCGCAACCCUUAUCCUUUGUUGCCAGCGGUUCGGCCGGGAACUCAAAGGAGACUGCCAGUGAUAAACUGGAGGAAGGUGGGGAUGACGUCAAGUCAUCAUGGCCCUUACGAGUAGGGCUACACACGUGCUACAAUGGCAUAUACAAAGAGAAGCGACCUCGCGAGAGCAAGCGGACCUCAUAAAGUAUGUCGUAGUCCGGAUUGGAGUCUGCAACUCGACUCCAUGAAGUCGGAAUCGCUAGUAAUCGUAGAUCAGAAUGCUACGGUGAAUACGU
rnacentral:rRNA from 1 species